AGUGUUAAAAAACAUGCCAAGCAUUGAAGGAAAUGUUCAAAGCAACUCAGGUUGACCAUCACCGCGUCGGAGGUUGCCUCUGGCAGCGGUGGUGCCAGAAAAUGAAAUCCCAAACAUCAUCAAAAGCGCAUUGCAACUCUGCUCAAGAAUAUGGAAGUGGAUUCUGUAUAUUCUCACUAAGGAGCUUGAAUCGAAGAAGAGUAGGUCAAGAACUCUAGGUACUUAGAGUUUAAUUAAAUGGCAAAUAUGAGGAAUUAAGCCCCAAGACCUUAGGGCUUUGAUUCCUCUAGUCAUGGCCUACAUCAUGGUAACUAGAAAUUGAAGAAAAGGUGAAGAUUAAAGGCUACCUCUUCGGAGAAGAUGACCGAAAAAUGCCUCAGGUGAGUUCUUCCUUCCCUCUCUUUGUCUUUUCUGCUUCGAAUCCCCCUUCCUCUUUGUUCUCCCUUAUGAAUUCUCAAGUUUGAGAAAACAUUCGAUUGGAUGGAGCUAAAUGUGAGGUUCUGGUGAAGAUGAACGGAGGUUCUCUGACGAAGAUGAAUGAGACGUGUUGAGGAACUCAGGGUGAGUGAUUCAGAGAUUCAGGGAAGACAAAGCCCUGCGAUGAAAGGUGGUUGAGAGAGUUAAAUCAAUUUUUCUGAUUUGUGAGAGAAUGUGAUUCAAUUAUUGAACUCUGGUAGAAUGAUUGUUAGUCCCUGAUUGAGGUGAUGAUUCAUUUAUAUAGGUUGUUAAGAUGGCUGGGGAUUGGAGAAUUCAGUUGGAGAAGUUUGUAGCAAUUUCUAAAAUCGAGGCAAAGAGUUAGAUUUUGUUAUGAGUUUUGUUGCUGACUUUGAUGCAUUACAGUUGGCAUGGGUCUGAUGCAAGUAUGAUGCAAGGUUUGUGAGGUUUGUGUUGCAUGAGUUCAUUGUUUGGCAUAGGACUGGACUGCUGCAGGUUCAUGGUUGGAAGGUAUGAUGAACUUAGUGCAGGCCUGUUUGCAUCAUGUUUCUGCAUGUCUAAUUUUCAUGUUUUGUGGCUUGGCAUGUUAUCCAAUUGGUUUUAUUGCAUGUUCAUUUGUGACGCAGGCAAGGUGUUUGUUUCAAGUUCAGGUUUUGGCAUCUGACUUGGUAUGCAUGACUACAGGGUUUUGGAUAGUGUAGGCAUGGUUAUUCUUGUAGGUGAGGCAUGGUUGUUCAUGGCUUUAAUGUUGCAAACAUGAGUGGUGUGGAAUUUGGUGAUGGUGGUUUGUUGCAAUCUUACUCAAUGGCAAGGUUUAGCAUGGUUAUUGCUUGGUCUGGCUGCCAAGCUGCAUGUUCAUGACCUGAUCCAUUUGCAGAUUCAUUUGCUUGUCUGACCUAGUUGGUCUUAGUCAUGGACAUGGACAUGGACCAAGUUACUUGGUAAAGAAGAAAUCACGGGCAAGCAUGGAUGGAAAUAGGUCUUAGGGGGUCAAGGGAGGGUCAGUUGACUUCGUUCAACCGGUUGACCAAAAAGUCAACUUUUAGCCAAAAGUCAAUUGUUGUAGUUUUUCGCCAAAUUUGCAUUUUUUGCAUGUUAUGGACAUUCUUGUAAUGAAAUAAACAAAUUAUGAAUGUAAAUGAUAUUUGUUUUAAA